CCUACGGGGGGCAGCAGUGGGGAAUCUUGCGCAAUGGCCGAAAGGCUGACGCAGCGACGCCGCGUGUGGGAUGACGGCCUUCGGGUUGUAAACCACUGUCGGAAGGGACGAAUGCCCCGCAAGGGGAGUGACGGUACCUUCAAAGGAAGCACCGGCUAACUCCGUGCCAGCAGCCGCGGUAAUACGGAGGGUGCGAGCGUUGUCCGGAAUCACUGGGCGUAAAGGGCGCGUAGGCGGCCCGGUAAGUAGGGGGUGAAAUCUUGCGGCUCAACCGCAAGGCUGCCUUCUAGACUGCCAGGCUCGAGCACAGUAGAGGCAGGUGGAAUUCCCGGUGUAGCGGUGGAAUGCGUAGAGAUCGGGAAGAACAUCAGUGGCGAAGGCGGCCUGCUGGGCUGUUGCUGACGCUGAGGCGCGACAGCGUGGGGAGCAAACAGGAUUAGAUACCCUAGUAGUC
rnacentral:rRNA from 1 species